ACUCAUUAAAUAUAAGGGCGUAUGGAGGAUGCCUUGACACUAAAAGACGAUGAAGGAGGUGGCGUGACUGCCUUAAGCUUCGGGGAGCCGUCUAGCAGGCUUUGAUCCGGAGAUAUCCGAAUGGGGAAACCCAAUUGCGUAAACCGCAAUUAUUCUGUCCGCCAGCUGGCGGACGGGAAGUAUACCUGGCGAAGUAAAACAUUCUAGUACCCAGAGGAAAAGAAAUAGAAUAGAUACCCUUAGUAGCGGCGAGCGAAAAGGGCAUAGCCUAAACCGUUUUUCAAGCAAGCAAUUGUUAGAAGGGCGGGGUAAUAGGGACGAUACACUUGAAUUUUUAACAUCGGAAUCUUCCAUCGAAGACGAU
rnacentral:ncRNA from 1 species